AGCUCGAUGAGUAGGGCGGGACACGUGGUAUCCUGUCUGAAUAUGGGGGGACCAUCCUCCAAGGCUAAAUACUCCUGACUGACCGAUAGUGAACCAGUACCGUGAGGGAAAGGCGAAAAGAACCCCGGCGAGGGGAGUGAAAAAGAACCUGAAACCGUGUACGUACAAGCAGUGGGAGCACGCUUAGGCGUGUGACUGCGUACCUUUUGUAUAAUGGGUCAGCGACUUAUAUUCUGUAGCAAGGUUAACCGAAUAGGGGAGCCGAAGGGAAACCGAGUCUUAACUGGGCGUUAAGUUGCAGGGUAUAGACCCGAAACCCGGUGAUCUAGCCAUGGGCAGGUUGAAGGUUGGGUAACACUAACUGGAGGACCGAACCGACUAAUGUUGAAAAAUUAGCGGAUGACUUGUGGCUGGGGGUGAAAGGCCAAUCAAACCGGGAGAUAGCUGGUUCUCCCCGAAAGCUAUUUAGGUAGCGCCUCGUGAAUUCAUCUCCGGGGGUAGAGCACUGUUUCGGCAAGGGGGUCAUCCCGACUUACCAACCCGAUGCAAACUGCGAAUACCGGAGAAUGUUAUCACGGGAGACACACGGCGGGUGCUAACGUCCGUCGUGAAGAGGGAAACAACCCAGACCGCCAGCUAAGGUCCCAAAGUCAUGGUUAAGUGGGAAACGAUGUGGGAAGGCCCAGACAGCCAGGAUGUUGGCUUAGAAGCAGCCAUCAUUUAAAGAAAGCGUAAUAGCUCACUGGUCGAGUCGGCCUGCGCGGAAGAUGUAACGGGGCUAAACCAUGCACCGAAGCUGCGGCAGCGACGCUGAUGCGUUGUUGGGUAGGGGAGCGUUCUGUAAGCCUGCGAAGGUGUGCUGUGAGG
rnacentral:rRNA from 1 species